GGGGCCAGGCUUAGUAGAGCCGGCUGGAGGGCGCGUUCGCCAGUUGCUGCUUGGGACGCGGGCUGCGCGGUCGGUGUGCUGCGUUACCGUUUUGCUGUGACGGUCCCUUCCCGGAGCCUGGGACUGAGGGGUCGCGCGCGUGUGCGUGUGUUGUGUGAGGGACAGCGGGACUCGGGCAGGGCCACCCCCUGCUGCCUUUUCCCUGAGCCGAGGCGGCAGUCCGCACGCUUGCUUGCUCGCCGCCCACUUGGGAGCGGGCUCGGUGUGCGGAGUGCGUCCUCUUUUUGAUUUUGGAACUUGGGAGAGUCCUUUUUCCCUCCCUUCCCCCUCCAUUGUUUUUUCUUUCUCUCUUUUGGCUUGGUGCCUCUAGGGCUGGUUUCCCUGGCCCCCGAAUAACCGCUUCCUGACCCGGUCGCCAGCCCCGCCCCAGGGUGCUCCCCCACCCCGGCUCUGCCCCGGCCCCGGAGGGUGGGAAGCCUUGCCUAGCGCAGCGUAGCCGCACCUGCCUCAGUAUGCAUGGGGUCAGCGACCCUCCUCUUUUUAUAAAAGACAUUAAGGCCGGACUGAAAAACUUAAAUGUCGUCUUUAUUGUCCUGGAGAUAGGACGCGUGACCAAAACCAAAGACGGCCAUGAAGUGAGGUCCUGCAAAGUAGCUGACAGAACGGGAAGCAUCACCAUUUCUGUGUGGGAUGAGAUCGGAGGGCUCAUACAGACAGGGGAUAUUAUUCGGUUGACCAGAGGGUAUGCGUCAAUGUGGAAAGGAUGUCUGACACUUUAUACUGGAAGAGGUGGUGAACUCCAAAAGAUUGGAGAAUUUUGUAUGGUGUAUUCAGAAGUGCCAAAUUUCAGUGAGCCAAACCCAGAUUAUAGAGGACAGCUGAGCCAAGGGGUACAAAAUGAGCAGAAGGAUAAAAUAAGCACCAGUACUUUUGGGCCAGUGGGGAAUGGUGUUCAGACUGGGCCUGAAUCAAGAGGAUAUCAUCUUCCAUAUGCUGGUAGAAGCAAUGGCCGGGCACCUGUCAAUCCACAGCUACCAGGAGCACCUUGUAGUCAAACAGUCAUGACCACAAUAAGUAAUGCCAGGGAUCCGAGGAGAGCCUUUAAAAGAUGACCUAAGCCAAAGAGACACAUGUAGUUUUUAAACUAUGUGCCCUACUUGAACACUUAGUGCACUUUUAUUUAUUGUUAACUGUGAAAAGUUUGUCUCCUACGGGUUUCCUUUUACAUUUUUGGUUUGUUAUAAAGAGAGGAUGGUUUUUACUGAAAAACUGUUAAGCUGCUCAGUUACAUCCUAUGGAAGAAUAGGAACUCUGAAAGCAGGAACAUUUAUUUUUAGAGCAAGAACUUACUGGGUAUCACUUGAAAACCUGUCCCUGUUUCAGGGGUGAGACUUAAGACACCAGCUUUAUAUAUAGCCUCUGUGAGUGUGUCUUCUGCAUAAACUUUGUAAUGUUUGUCAUAAUGUUUAAUGGAAAAUGUCUGUUGUCUUAAAUUUGGAUAUUGCCAACUGAAGCAAUAACCACCCCACGCCAGAAACCUGGUCAGUGCUGACAGCAUUUUUGAGUGUUUGUGAUCCAGCAAUGACUUGACUUCCUAGAGUGACUGCCUGCUAUUAAGAUUUACCAAGGAAAGAAUCAUCCUAAAUUCUUGUUUAAUAACCAGAUAACCAAAUUCUUUAUCAGAAUUAUGGAAUAAAAUGUGUAAUACAGCAAGUACUUUUUUGUUGCAAACAUUGAAGAUUACAUUCAAGGCAAAUUUAUAAGUCCUUGAAUGUUUUACUUUUGAAACUACCAUGUUAAAUAUUGAAGUGUAAGUGGAGGGAUUGUGGGGAGUUGUAACCCCUGAUUGAACAGUAGUCAUUAGUAUUAGUUGUAGUACUUUUGAGACGGGGUCUUACUGUGUACCCCUGGCUGGGUUGGAUCUUGUUAUGUAGACCAGGUGGGUCUUUGAAUAAUAGAGCUGCCUGCAUCUUUCCCAGGUGCGGGGAUUAAGUUGUUCACCACCACACCAGGCUGAUCUGAUUAUUUUUAAAAAUACUCAUGGCAGAUGAAUAUUGUAGCAAAUGCAAUUCAGAUUGAAUUCUUAUAGCCAUGUGACUGCCUGAUACAAGUAGUCAGAAGUAAAAUGCUAGUACUCCCUUUCUUCAAUGGGUGUGUGUCUUUUAAAGUUUCUGAACACAAUUCACAUAGCCUUAUUAGCAAAGUUAAGUGGCUCAAGAAGCGAUUAUACCUCUGUUAAUGCUAAGGUGUGAUUUGUGUAUAAUGGAAUUUCCUUUCUCUGCGGUGUGUAAUUGGUAAUUUUUCAUUGUUCCUAUUUGUUUCUCCUUAAACAUUCUCUCCUGAAGAAAACUUGCUGUAAUGACACAUCUUAAUCUUUCAGUAAACAUGGAGAGCCCAGUCCAUUUUAUUGAAGUUGUAACCAGCUUCAGCCUGGCUGCUCCAUACCUCUGUACCUGUCAUUUCUUCUCACCUCAGAUUGUAAAAUAAGGAAACUUCCAAAACCAAAGCACAGUGAAAUCCAAACAGUAACGAAUAAUUGUCUUCCCAGUCUGCAUGGAUACCACUCAUCAAGAAGUUUUGGAAGUGUCAACCCUCCUUUCUGGUGCCUUCAGCUAUCAACGUUGACAAAUAUCAACAAGACCCAAUGAAACAAACCAUGUAGUUCAGAAAUGCAGUGCUAAGAUUGGGUCCCCAUUACUGUUUCUAGGCAUGGUCCUGGAGUGGAGCAAACAAAUAUGAUCAGACCAGCUUUUGUCUGGCCAGGUUGUGGGGAUUUGCCACACAAUAGAAAAUGAAAGGUGAAGUCCACCCCAUAGAAGAAGCAUGUAAAUACCAGGUUUUUCUGUGCUGUACCAACUCCCUAUUUUACUUUUUGUCCAUAGUCUUAGGAAAUUUUUGUUAAAGUUUGAAGAGUGAUUAAUUUUUAAAGCAUAGUUUGAAGGUUAACUAGCCCUUUUAACUUUUUUUUUUUUAAAGCAGAUUAUAUACUGAGUGUCUAGCCCAAUGAUGUGAAGAAGCACCACAGUUGAUAAUUUCUAUUUACAGAGUGAUGGGACAUGUCAGUGGAGUUGCUGAAAUGGCUUCCCCUCUUGGGUAUCAUUAGUAUAGUGACUGCUUGAAGCCAUUUUAGGUUGUAUGUGUGACUCGUGAGGUUCUAAUGGUGACUGAAAAGCACUGGAAGCAACAGAACAGUUUCCCAAACAGGCAUGUGACAUGUUCUAACCCCACUGAGCUCCCUCAUCUCACUGAUUUUUACAUCUCUCACCUGAUGAAAGUCUAAUGAUUGUUUAGUAGGCAAGGAUUGUGUGGUUUCAGUCAUUUUCUAGCACAGUGGUGGUGUGAGGAAGUUAGGGGUCGCCAUGAGAUCCUUGUGUGCUAAGGCGCUAGCCAUUCAUUACAAGUGGGAGUAACUAAACUGCCAAUAUUUCACAAAGUAGUUUUAAUCAGGCGUGCUGCUGACACCUAAUUGUGACCUUUGAAAAUAACACCAUCACUGAUGUAUCACACCCCAAGGCAGAAGCUAGAUAAUUGUUUUCUAUGUAUAUUUAAGUCUCUAGAUCAAGGUUUGCUUUAUUGGGAAUAUGCUAGUUUGAAGGAUAUGGUCAAAUUAUACCAGGUUUCUGAAUGAACAGAGUCAUGAUAUUUCUGGAAGCACAAAUGAGACUCAAAAAGUCCAUUAAGUUACUAGGAAGCAUUUUUCCCCCACACUGAUAUUAGGUCUCAAAAUACUACCAAGACUAGCUUUUACCUUUCUGAGGUGUUCAGUGUAGUAACAUUUCAACCUAGGUGUCUAAGCCUUGAAGAGUGAAAGUACACAACCCAAGAUUUUCUGGUGUACCCUAACUGUCCAGAGCUAGGUGGCAGUUAUUCUCUUAAAGUUAAUUCACAUCGGGAUCCAAGCUAGGCCUGCUUUCUUGUUCACAAACUACAGUUACCUUGAAUUACAUGUUAGUAAAACUGGUUAUAAGUCACACAUAUGAGCUUUUCAGAACUUGGAACUGUCAAGCAUUCUGGAGACCUUUGUCUACUAUCUUUGCUAAUUCCUUUUCACAACCAGAAAACUAUUGGAAUUAUGUGUGUUUUCUCAGUUCCUUUUCUGUAAAUCUAGAACAUACUAAGUUGUAUUGAACAGGGAAAAAUUUAUUUAGAACAAUGUUUCUUCAAAUCCCAGAAUUACUGGCUGAGGCAAGUGUUUCUGAAUAGAGAUAAUUAGGCCCUUUACAUAGGAAUGCUGGGAUUUUUGAAUUAAGUUCAAAUAUAAUCAACCAAAAUACAGCAAAGCUGAGAUCAGAUCUCUUCUGAGAGGAGGUCUUAAUGUGGCCUAGGCUUGCCUAGAACUGCUCUACGUAAGAUCAGAUCUCUACAGAGGAAUUUCGUGGCUGAACUGAUGUAUGCAUCCAGUUAAAAUCAUCUUUUUCACCCUGGCCAUUAGGUUCACAAAGUACAUUUUGAGGGCUUAGCUCAGGAAAUAGAUGGUUUUUUUGUGAGUGUCUUUUCAUACUUUGGUCAGCCCAACAUGAAAAAAAUGACGGGUUUUAAGGUAGGGUUGGAGGCAUUGACAUCACUGGGGGUGCCCAGGGCACACAUCACUAUCAGAUCCCAGUCCCUUUUUAAGCACAGUUUCCACAGGAGUUUGAAAUAUUUAGCCCAAAGACUUAAAGAUUUCUGACUAGUUGCUCUGCUAUUUAAACAAAAAUUGUCAGCACUAGAGCCAUCUACUGGUAGGUAAUAGUUUUUGUGGAUGAAUCUGGUUUUUGUUAAGAUAGUCCAUUAUCCCAUAGAUGAUGAUUGCUGAUUUAUAUAGAAAACAAAUGACAUUAAGAAGUGAUCAUAGAAAAUGUCCUUUUAAGCAGAUCAAACACUGAACUGCCCCAAAAGAUACAGAAGAAACAAGAUUGCCUGUCAAGAUUUUUAAAAAUUUUACCUGCAUGUUUAGAUGUGGACUGCAUGUGUGCCUGGUGCCUGUGGAGGACAGAAGAGGGCAUCAGAUCCCUAGAACCUAAGUUAGAGAUAAUUAUGAGCUGCCAUUUGGGUGCUGGGAAUUGAACCCAGUUUUUUGUUUGGGUUUUUUUUUUUUUUUUUUUUUUGUAAGAGGAACAAGUGUUCUUAACCAUUGAACCUUCUGUCUCCAGCCUGUACUGUCAAAUUUUAGACUCAUGCUUGUCAGUAUUAAUCGAAACUGUCACUGAUUUGUGUGUGUGUGUGUGAAAAUGUAGAGUCUAGGAACUAUUCCAUUAUCGAGUGGUAUUUUAUGCCAAAUGACUGGUGCUAUUUUUGUAGUUACAUGAACUUUGCCUAUCAGAAUUCAAAUGUAAAGUGAAAACGCAGUUUUGAACUGAAGAGAUCUUGGUUUGAGUCCUGUAUCUGCUGUUUACCAACUACCUGACCAAGAACCUAACAGGAUAAUGGGGUGCGCCAGUGUGUACAAAGCAUGUUCAUAAUCAAGGCCUAACAGAUAAAAGCCCUUUAUGAUCCUGGAAGUAAGGCAGAUAAAUAUCAUUUCUCUAUACCACUUGGAGAGAAUUCAGAAAAAAUUAAUUGAACAUUGAGAAAUUUAUAUGAAUUAAAAAAAAAUGGUGGUUCUCAUGUAA